rnacentral:snRNA from 1 species
GUAUCUAAUACCGAUUUAU